GACGAACGCUGGCGGAGCGCUUAACACAUGCAAGUCGAACGGAAAGGCCUGCUUUCCCUCGUGGAUUGCGGGUACGCGAGUGGCGAACGGGUGAGAAACACGUGCGUGAUCUGCACCCGAAUUGGGUAUAAGCCUGGGAAACUGGGACGAAUUCCCGUUAGGACUGCAGGGAGAUGCCCGUGGUGGAAGACGUUCGUCUCGUGGGCGGGGAUGAGCGGGCGGACUACCAGCUUGUUGGUGGGGGAAUGGGCCGCCAGGGCGGCGACGGCUAGACGGCCUGGGAGUGUCGACGGCGAGAGUGGGACUGGGAUCCGGCCCAGACUCCUACGGCAGGCAGCCGUGGGGAAUAUUGCACAGUGGGCGGAAGCCUGAUGCAGCGACGCCGCGUGGGAGAUGUCGUCCUUCGGGUUGUAAGCUCCUCGCGACCGCGAGGAAUCCACCUGGGUGGAAGGGUGGUGACGGUAGUGGUAGAAGAAGCGCCGGCUAACUACGUG
rnacentral:rRNA from 1 species